rnacentral:tRNA from 1 species
GCCAGUGUUGCUCAGUGGAUAGAGUGUCGGCCUGAAGGCUGAAGGGUCCAGGUUCGAUUCCGGUCAAGGGCA